UACGUAGGGGGCAAGCGUUGUCCGGAAUCAUUGGGCGUAAAGCGCGCGUAGGCGGCCCGGUAAGUCCGCUGUAAAAGUCAAAGGCUCAACCUUUGAAUGCCGGUGGAUACUGUCGGGCUAGAGUCCGGAAGAGGCGAGUGGAAUUCCUGGUGUAGCGGUGGAAUGCGCAGAUAUCAGGAGGAACACCAAUAGCGAAGGCAGCUCGCUGGGACGGUACUGACGCUGAGGCGCGAAGGCCAGGGGAGCAAACGGG
rnacentral:rRNA from 1 species